rnacentral:rRNA from 1 species
UACGUAGGGACCGAGCGUUGUCCGGAAUCAUUGGGCGUAAAGAGCGUGUAGGCGGCCCCUUAAGUCCUGCGUGAAAUCCCGAGGCUCAACCUCGGGUCUGCAGUCGAUACGGGCGGACUGGAGUUCGGCAGGGGAGACUGGAAUUCCUGGUGUAGCGGUGAAAUGCGCAGAUAUCAGGAGGAACACCGGUGGCGAAGGCGGGUCUCUGGGCCGAUACUGACGCUGAGGAGCGAAAGCGUGGGGAGCGAACAGG